UUUUUCCAACUUCAGAAUUAAGUUCCCAAAGGAAAACUUUGUCACCAUCUGUUUUAUCUAACAAGAUUCAUUGUGUUUGUUCUUCUCACCAUUUAGUAGACCUCACGACUUUAUGAAGAAACAAUUCGCACAUCCAACAAUUCUUCUAUGCAGGUGUUUUGGAAAAUAUCACGUUAGAUUUCAUUAGACUUCUAAG